CAGUUGUGCUUUAAACGCUGAGUGACGUGGUCAGACGGAGCUUGAGUUUUGAUAAAAAAAGUAUUGUAAAAAUGAGUUCAAGAGCUAGAAAAUUGCUCAAAUUACCCAUGACCGGAAGGUCAGAGAGUAGUAGUAAAAAAUUGUUAAAAUUAUAACCUAACUUUUAGUGUGAAGGCUUCAUUAAAAUAACAUAACAAAAAGUGGAAUGGAAAAAAACUUUAGACAUCUUAUAAUAUCUACCAGUAUGGGUCUAAUUUUGUUUAUGCUAGACAAAGCAGUGGGUUAUCCCUUACCUAUGUAAUAGGUAAGGCCUCACACAUUAAGACCCCAGGUUGCUGUUUACUGGCAACAGGCCCAGAUAAGCGCCGAUAAUUUAGGUAGCUCGUCAAUGGUUGUCUUUGUCCAUAACCGCAAACUUUACUUGAAUGAAUUUUCAAUUCUUGGUCGUUUGUUACCAGUGCCGGACGUGGUCACAUAAUUGUUAAAUAAUGAUGGAUAGUCAAAUUUUGAUCGCCACAAUUUUUAGAAGAACUGCCCUGUAGCGACUAAAAUCUCACAGCAAUCGAAAUGUUACGGAACGUUAUAGCAGCCGAAAUGAAAAUAGAUGUUGGUGAAUUGAAGAUCGCAGAGGACGUCAUGGUAAUACCGGUAGAUGUUUAGCACGGGCUGACAAGGAUGGUGCAAGAGAUUACAUAAAUUCUUAUCUGUCAAAAGAAUCUCAUUACUGUCGGGCAAGUUCUACAAAAGACUACCUUGAAGGUGAUUUAAAUUUGACUAUGAUGUAUUGACAGUACAAGAAAUGGUGCCAUCAGAAUAGUAAGCCUAUCUUCAAGCAAGGAACCUUUGAACUAAGUUGGAAUUUCUGGAACCGUUGGCGAUUUCAUACUGAAUAUACUGUUUACAGGUACCUUCAGUCUCUAAAGACGAUAACUUGGUUAUCAAAACGCGCGUCAGACAGUAUAAUUUUAGUGUUGGUGUAAACAGUAUAUUCAGAAGGAACCUUUGAACACUUUUUUCAAAACGAGUUAAUAUUGCAUUUUAUAAGCCCACGAAGGAUCAGUGUUCAGUAUCAAAAUGCUGUGGGCCAUAAGUUACAACUGAUGUACAAUUGUGAGAAACACUUAAAAGAAAGAGACUUGUGCAGAUUGGAAAAGAAAGCAGACAGAAUCAUGCACAAAUGAUGCUAUCAAGAUAAUUUGUUGUGACAUGCAGGCAGUUCUGCUAACACAAUGCAGAAACGAUUCCCUCUUUUUUUAUAAAAGAGGACUAAAAUGUGUACUGAACGAAAACUAUUGAUUUGCAGCACCUUAUUAUUUUAAGAUUUAAACUCAUCUCUUUAUUUUAUAAACAUUCAAUAAAUCAAUAAGAUUUCUGAAUUGAUUGUGUUUUUGAACUUCAUGACUGGGUUUAAUUUAUUUAGAAAUAUAAUUAGUUUUCAGAUUUUCAGGAAAUGUUUAAUUCAUUAUUGGAACAUUUCACAAAAAACUUAUAACUCAAAAACUACAAAUGACCUCCUAAAUUUUGCAACACACUAUAAACUUAGCUAUAAUCUAUAUAUUAAUCAAUACUUAAAAAAACAAAA